CAAGAUUAAGGGACCCUGAACCCACCAAAUCUUUUCUGAUCUCGGAAGCUAAGCAGGGUCGGGCUUGGUUAGUACUUGGAUGGGAGACCACCUGGGAACCUGUGCUGUAGGCUUUU
ensembl:rRNA 5S_rRNA 5S ribosomal RNA